UAAUCAAACAUGUGUUUACUUGUCAUGUUAAGCUUAUACAGAAGUGCCAUAAAGUCUGAUUGGCUUCUAAACUUUUCACCUCAGCACAAAAGAAGCAUGUAGCAUCCAAAAAUAAAAAGAGAUGAGUGAUAAUGCUGUAAUAUUGCAUGGCAAACAGUCAGGCAACUUCAUUAAUUAUAAAAUCCCUACAUUAAGUACAAAAAAGAAUAAAUUGUAAUGUACAAUAGUUUUGACUUUAUAUAUGAACACAUUAAUCACAGAGAUACAUGUCUUAUUCCUCUGAAUAUCAGCAUUUCCUUGAUAUAACCUAUUUAAAAAGGGUGGAUUUGUAUUGAAAGGAAUGCUGCAAUCUCUGACUGAGAAAUGCAGAACUGUAUACAAUGUGAUUCAGCCAAUUUUCCACAAACAUACAAUCCAAAAAUACUUCCCCAAGGUGUCUACACAGGAAGAGUUUAAGUGCUUUACCUGGAACUGCAACCGAGUGAUGCUGAAAUAAAACCCAUAGACUACUCACAACUACCACUGCUAGAUAGUGUUAAGUAAACAUGAAUAUGUACAGUCAUGGAAUAUCUACACUAAUCUGUGGUCACAUCAAAAAACAAA